rfam:Nicotiana sylvestris Nsyl_contig19809, whole genome shotgun sequence.
GAUAUAUAGAGAUAUUGAUGCGACUCAAUCUGAAGACGUGAUUAUAUAUAAAUAUAAUCAGCCAUGUGAUUUUGAUUGAGCCGCGUCAAUAUCUCUCUUAAUAUA